ensembl:lncRNA
AAGGUAGACUAGGGGCAGGUAGACUAGAGGAGGCAGGUAGACUAGAGGAGGCAGGUAGACUAGGAGAAUGUAUACAAGGGGCAGGUACACUAGGAGAAUGUAUACAAGGGGCAGGUAGACUAGGGGCAGCAGGUAGACUAGGGGCGGCAGGUAGACUGGAGGCAGGUAGACUAGGAGAAGGUAUACAAGGGGCAGGUAGACUAGGGGCAGGUAGACUAGGGGCGGCAGGUAGACUAGAGGCAGGUAGACUAGGAGAAGGUAGACUAGGGGCGGCAGGUAGACUAGGGGCGGCAGGUAGACUGGAGGCAGGUAGGCUAGGGGCAGGUAGACUAGAAGAGGCAGGUAGACUAGGGGCAGGUAGACUAGGGGUGGCACGUAGACCUGGAGGCAGGUAGACUAGGAGAAGGUAUACAAGGGGAAGGUAGACUAGGGGCAGGUAGACUGGAAGCAGGUAGACUAGGGGAGGUAGACUAGGGGCGGCAGGUAGACUGGAGGCAGGUAGACUGGAGGCAGGUAGACUAGGGGCAGGUAGACUAGGGGCGGCAGGUAGACUGGAGGCAGGUAGACUGGAGGCAGGUAGACUAGGGGCGGCAGGUAGACUGGAGGCAGGUAGACUAGGGGCAGGUAGACUAGAAGAGGCAGGUAGACUAGGGGCAGGUAGACUAGGGGUGGCAGGUGGACUGGAGGCAGGUAGACUAGGAGAAGGUAUACAAGGGGCAGGUAGACUAGGGGCAGGUAGACUAGGGGCGGCAGGUAGACUAGAGGCAGGUAGACUAGGAGAAGGUAGACUAGGGGCGGCAGGUAGACUAGGGGCGGCAGGUAGACUGGAGGCAGGUAGACUAGGGGCGGCAGGUAGACUGGAGGCAGGUAGACUAGGCGCAGGUAGACUAGGAGAAGGUAUACAACGGGCAGGUAGACUAGGAGAAGGUAUACAAGGGGCAGGUAGACUGGAGGCAGGUAUACUAGGGGCGGCAGGUAGACUGGAGGCAGGUAGACUAGGCACAGGUAGACUAGGAG